rnacentral:rRNA from 1 species
UACGUAGGGGGCAAGCGUUGUCCGGAAUUAUUUGGGCGGUAAAGCGCGUGUAGGCGGUCCGGUAAGUCGGUUGUGGAAAGUCCCAGGGCCUCGAACCCUGGGAUGCCGAUCCGAUACUGCCGGACUGAGGAGUCCGGAAGAGGCGAGUGGAAUUCCCGGUGUAGCGGUGAAAUGCGCAGAUAUCGGGAGGAACACCAAUGGCGAAGGCGGCUUCUGGACGACAACUGACGCUGAGACGCGGAAAGCGUGGGGAGCAAACAGG